GUGUUCUUUUAGCGGGGUAUCCUUCGUCCUUUUAAAGUAUCCCACGGCAAGAUAUUUUGAAAACAUAGUGUAUUAGUAAUUGGGGACCAAAGAAAAAAACAGAAAAAACCCAUAAUAUAUUUCAGACUUUGUGUUAUGAAAAUCUUCAUACAUGUUUUCGAAACCGAUUAUAAAAUAUUUUAUAUACUAAAACACAAGUCACAAUAAGAUUUUACCACAUGUUAUUGUUUUACAAAUAAAAAAGUUAAUUAAUUAUCAACAUAAAGAUUAAAGGAAAAUUGCACCCUAUAUACAUGAAAAAUACUUAUAUAUACUAACUAACCAAAAUUUCCCCCUCUCUCCUACUUUCUCUUCCUAUCUCUCUCUACUCUCUCUUCCAAAAUUUAAUUUUCAUUUUUUUUUGGUUAUUUGGUAAAUAAGCCCAAAAUUAAAAACUAUCGCAAAUAAACCAACUGAAAAAAGAAAUGUCUCCAAUCAAAAAAGAGCUCCACUAACCACGAUCUCUAAUUUCUUAAAACUGUAAAAUCUUAAAUUCCUAAUUUUUUUCUAAUGAACACCUUAUGUCAUGGCACAAUUUCAAACUGUUUCAUCUAUAACUUAUUUCUUCUCUGUCUUCUAUCCUUCUCUCUUAUUCUAUGUCGUUUGUUUCUUCGUAAUCUUUUGGGUUUUGAGUGUUGGAACAAUAACUAUAUAGCUUAUGACUUCAUUAUGUCCAAGUUCGGUGUUUCUUCUUAAAGCAAUACUCUCAUAUUCUUUUUGUUCAGCUUCAAGUUGUUUUAAUAGAUUAUUCAUAGGAAGACUAAGGGACAACGAGACUGGGCAUAUAGAUUUUAAAAAUCUGAAAUGGAAAUACAAAGUAAAUAUUUUAUCACUUUUCUUUUAGUUAACUAUGCAAAGUUUCAGCGUUAUUGAGUUUUCUGGGAUAAAUUGUUUCGUAUAUUAUGGAUAUAGUACAAAAGAAAUGGUGCUCAUCUUUCCUAUUAAGAACGUGAAGAUGGAGAGAAAAAACGUGAAGAUGGCAUAUCGGUGGUGCUGUGUAGACUGAGAUUAAGGUAAUAUUUUAUAGAGGUAUUUUAGCUUAUUUUGUAAAUUGUUAUAAUUUUCUAGAUAUAUUAUAUAUUCACAAUUUAUGACUUUAUGUACAUAUAUAUAUAUGAACACUCUUCAAUAUCUCUUGACACGCGGUAAUAGGAGGCGAUAAUCUGUAUGGAGUUGGUAUAUUUUUAACUCAAAAAUGUAAUAGCAAUACAUGUUAAAUUUCUAUGAUAAUUUGAUAUAAAAAUAAGUAUUUUUCCCCGUACGCAGUAUAGUUAUAAACCACAUUGAGAAAAGGUGAAACACCAACCAUAAAACCUUCUUUGGUGUACUCCAAAAUGAUUAAAUUUCUUGCUGAAGUAUAUUAGUAAGACGAACUAUAUAUAUUUCAUUACAACUUGGAAACAACAAUGGAGAACCAGUCGCACCCUAAAACAACACGCACCGACUUUUACUACGGACUACGAGAUUGAUCGAGGUCCAAUGGCAAGGCCAUACACCCGUUUGGCUUCUCAUAGCUCACUAAGAUUUUUCUUUAAAAUGCUCAUGGAAUUGUCAUUUUUCUAAAGUAACCUAUUUACCAACUUACGAUUGUGGACUUCUAUUAGUUCGUUUACUAUAAAUAGCAUAAAGUUUUGCACAUAUAUACGGUCACAUACGAAUAAAGAUAAAAGUAACAGUCAUGUACAUGAACUACUCCCAAUUAAAAAUGAUAUAAACAAGGGAAAUUUUCCUGGAUAGCUUUUUUUAGUUUUUGUUAUAAAAAGAGUAUACACGGAAAAAAAUGACCAAAACAGUUUUAUUAAAAAGAUAAAUAAAAUUUCUACUUCUUGCUUUAUAGAUAUAUAAAUAAUAAUAAAAGUUAUAAUUUUGAAUUAUAUGUUUUUAAAUUCAAACUUUUUAUAUUUUUUUGAAAUUUAAUGCUUUUUAAAACUGUUUUUAAAAAAAAAAUAUUUUAAAAUUUUAAUAUUUAUUUUCUAUUUGUAAAAUUUCCAAAGUCUAGGAUUAGAAGUUCUUUAAUAAACUCUAUACGAGAAAUUCCCUAGAAUAGCCAUAUUUAAGUUUUUGUCACAAAAAUAGCUUUUAAUGAAGAAAAUGAUCAAAAUAAGUUUUAUUAAAAGAUAAAAAUGUAUUUUUACCUUAAGGUUAACUAAUCUAGACGUAGGAUUUAAAGUUAAAGGGUGGAGCUUUGGUGAUAGGGUUUCAACUUUUAAAAAAUAUAAAAUAAAUAUUAAAAUUUCAAAAUAAAAAAAAAGGUUAUUUUAGUCAUUUUCUUUCUUGAAUGCUAUUUUUUGUGACAAAAACUUAAAAAUGUCUAUUUGAGAGAAUUGCCCAAUCUAUAUUAGUUAUUUUCUUUAUUAGAGGUUUUUUUGUGAAAAUAAACUAAAAAAAAAUCAUAUGGAAUUUCUCUGUAAACAAAGUAUGUAAUUCUCUUAUGGACGUAAAAUAACAUUUCUAUAAAUGUAAAAAAAAUAUAUUUACUUACAGUGAUCUAUAAACAAAAAGUUAAUAAAUACGAAUGACGUUGGGUGGUCCAAAGUUGGCAACUAAAUGAUAAACGUUGAAGCGCAUAUGCAUGCAUAUAGUUCAGAGAACCACCACAAUUAUAUAAGGAUAAAUUCUUAUUAGCUAGAAGAUCAAUUUUUUUAGGGGGGCGGGGUAGAUUAUAUUGAUAAUGUGGCCUUUGGUUGGUGGGGAGGACUACAAGAGACUAAGAGAGUAUUACCGAAGAUGAUGAUUACGAACGAACUAUGGAUGAAGAAAACUCAAGAUCUCACCUCUACUUUCGGUUGCUAUUGAGUUGAUCUCAAAGUAACUCAAUCUGUUACGAGUGUCAGAUGACAAUAUUCUUCUUCCAUGAUUGACUCGAGAUAUUUUGUACAUAAUAUAUGUUAAAUUUCAUAUAUAUCUAAUAAAAUGUAUCACCAAUAUAAUUGUUAGAAAAAAAGUAUCACAAUAUAAUAUUAUUA
rnacentral:lncRNA from 1 species